UACGUAGGGUGCGAGCGUUGUCCGGAAUUACUGGGCGUAAAGAGCUCGUAGGUGGUUUGUCGCGUUGUUCGUGAAAACUCACAGCUCAACUGUGGGCGUGCGGGCGAUACGGGCAGACUGGAGUACUGCAGGGGAGACUGGAAUUCCUGGUGUAGCGGUGAAAUGCGCAGAUAUCAGGAGGAACACCGGUGGCGAAGGCGGGUCUCUGGGCCGAAACUGACGCUGAGGAGCGAAAGCGUGGGGAGCAAACAGG
rnacentral:rRNA from 1 species